GGGGGAUUAGCUCAGCUGGGAGAGCACCUGCCUUACAAGCAGGGGGUCGGCGGUUCGAUCCCGUCAUCCUCCACCA
rnacentral:tRNA from 3 species